GAGAGAUUAGUUAAAUUAUAAUAUAAGAUUGUCAGUCUUACGUUACUAGCAAAAUUAGUAUCUCUUA
rnacentral:tRNA from 1 species